UCCCUGGUAGUAUAUCGGUUAGUACACGCGCCUGUCAUACGGACCGCGCGAAAGCUGGGUUCGACUCCCAGCCAGGGAG